UGCACUCUAAAAAAUGAUUCAUGGGGUUAGUAAGUAAAGCUUAAAAUCAAUAGCUUUUUCUGCAUAAAAAAUUAAGUUUGUUGCAUGUACACAUUGUAAUCAGUUGAUAACUUAAUUUAAUGAGUUGGUCGAAAUGAAAAUAAAGAAAACAGUCUUAGCUCAGUAAUAUAUCGAUUUUGAACAGACAUUUCUGUGUUAACUUAACAUGAAAGUGUAUUCAGUUAAUACAACUUAAAAAUCUCGUAAGCGUCCUUUAAAAGCUGAGUACAAGGCUGACUUGCCCGGACAUGUUGUGCUCUCAGACCACUGAUCGAAAGAAACGGAGGCAAAGAGAGAAAGCGGAGAAGCGCCAUUUUGUACGGAACGUUAUCAAACGUUAAAGCUUUGUGAUAAACCAAGAAUUCAGAAGGAUCACCACUGUUAACCUGGAGACAACAUUCAUGGCAAAGCUGGACCAGUACUCUCAGAAAAUAAUGUCCUUGCUGUCCUCAAGAGGAGGGGCUGCAAAAAUGCGCAUUCGGUGCAUCCAGAACAUGCUGCUAGAGGACGAUUCUGUGGAGAGAAGGCGAGAGGUCGCUAUCCGUGGCUUAGUGGUGUAUCUCAGGGAAAAGGAGGAGGAUCUCUUCAAAGAGCAGGAUGGUGGCGGGGAUAUUACCAAUGAAGUGAUGAAGAUUGUAACCAGAGGUGCCACAACGUCUGAUCCAGCCAGCGCAAGGAUCAUACUUGAAGGAACAGAAGUCCUAGCAGACCUGGAUGUACCCAGAGCCUGUGCCUUGCUAAUGGGGCUGAUAUAUGCACUCAACCUCAGCUACCCAAAAGAACUGAAAAACACUUUUGAAGUGUUUCAAAAGAUAUUCCUCGAGCUGGAUGAUCUGAAAGCCAGUCCUAAGGUAAUGUCACUAAAAAGUAAACUGUUGUACUAAAAAAUGUGAAGAGUGAGGCUAUCCUCAAAUUAAACGGGAAAUGUUCCACUGUUGUUUGCAAUGUGUUGUGUUACAUACUGUACAGUAGGCAGUAGGUGUAAAGUUGAGCGUUGAGCAUUAAGUACACCUAGUUCAAAAUAAUGCACUUUAAAAGGAUAGCUCGGGUCUUUUGAAGUGAGGCUGUAUGAGGUACAUAUGUAUAGUGAGUGUCUUACACACAGUAGAUGGCAGUCAGUAAGCUCCACCUACGGAGAAGCAGACGGGGCCACCGGCACGCAAGAUGAGCCUCCAUCCUAAUAAAACUGAUGUCAGUUUAAAUGUACAUUAUAUCAAGAAUAUGUUUACUGCUUUAUUUUGCUAUCAGACAGCCUUUUCUGUGAGGAAAGAGAAGUUCUACUGCUUGUUGUUUCAAUCGCUCUGGCCCACCAGCGUCCAUGGACAAAAACAGCAAUUUUACCUGACAGCACACAGGAGUUGCUGGUCUCCUGCUGCCUUGAUCAGUAAGUGUAAUUGUGUUAUUUGGUGACUUUGGUGUUAGUUCGGGUUAGUUCAGAUUUACCAAAGUCACACAAACAAACUGAGCCUAUCGUGC
ensembl:lncRNA